rnacentral:rRNA from 1 species
GAAAUUCGAGCUAAUACCGGAUAAUGUCUUCGGACCAAAGAUUUAUCGCCUUUAGAUGGGCCCGCGUAAGAUUAGCUAGUUGUGGGGUAAAGGCCUACCAAGGCGACAAUCUUUAGCUGGUCUGAGAGGAUGAUCAGCCACACUGGGGACUGAGACACGGCCCAGACUCCUACGGGAGGCAGCAGUGGGGAAUAUUGGACAAUGGGCGAAAGCCUGAUCCAGCAAUGCCGCGUGAGUGAUGAAGGCCUUAGGGUUGUAAAGCUCUUUUACCCGAGAUGAUAAUGACAGUAUCGGGAGAAUAAGCUCCGGCUAACUCCGUG